AUAAGAUUCAAAUUUGUAGAGAGAAAAAGAGAGAGAAAAUAUCUAAUUUUCUUGUUGUCCAAAAUUCAAGAAUUAGUUUCUGGAUUAAUUGAAAGAAGGUGCCCACACGCCGGUAUAGUCUUUCCGUUGGAGAAUACCAUAGAAGGCUUGAAUAUUUGAAGUACCAAGAUUCUUGCCAUUAAAGGAGACAGAAGUUCGUGGAUCAUAGUUAUUUCAAGGUUAAUCAUUGAAUUUAGGUAAAUUAUUUGAAUCCUUUAAUUUUGUUAUAACAUACACGUGAACAUGUAGACGAUCUUACUUAUUGAAUUAAAGAAAAUUUUAAUUUCUAAUUAAUUUCGCUUCCGCAUUCCAACAUUUUUCACAUGGGAAAUAAUCUUAUAUCUUGGCUAAGUAAGAAAAAAACUCUAUUUUCUUGUCCACUGCAAAAGCUAAUUAUAUCGCUGCCUAUAGUUCCGUGAUAAUACUAGUUUUAUAAACAUUUCUUAGAAUCCUAUUCAGCUUUCUAGAACUAAGCAUAUUGACAUUCGACAUCGCUUCAUCGGGGACUUAGUUAAGAAAAGUAAAAUUAUCCUAGAACAUAUUCAUAUUAAAGGAAAACUCACUAAUUUAGUCGCUAAAGCUUUUGAUAUUAUCAUAGUUGAAACUUAAUGAAAAAUCGUGGGCAUAUGCAUGAUGCAUUAAACCAUUCCGACUUACAUAUAUUUUACUAUAUAUUUUGUGCGCUCACUAUAUUUGCAUAUGUUUUGCAUUAUAAAAAUUGAAAAAUAAAAAAAAUAAUAAAAAGAAAAUUGGGGCUUUUCUUGCAAAUGUUAUAAGAUGUAAAUUGAUAAGUGUAUUUUUGCACACUUAUUUAAUAACUAAAUAAGCUUAAAUAUUGAUUAAAGAAGCAAAUUUCUACUCAUAAUUAUGUAAUUAUUACUUUAUAGGUAAAAAUUACCCAAGAAAGUAGAACAAAGCAAAAAAGAGGAGAAAGUAACAAAGAUUGUACAAAUUUGUGAAUUUGGGGACCAAAACGAACAAGUGUAGAAUUUUGGAGGACUUUGAGUACAAAUUUUUAAGGGCAUGAUUGAAACGAAAGUCAAAAUUUGAUGAUUAGAUUGUACAAGAUCAAAGUUGAGGACCUUGCAUGCAAAUGGAAGAGGACUAAGUCGGACAAAAUGAAAAGAGAACGGACUCGAUCGUGCGUGAUAGGCUUAAAAACUAACCCGAGAGAAAAGCGUAAUGCCUCGAGCACACGCGCUAAGAAUGCC
rnacentral:lncRNA from 1 species